UUUUAUCUUGAAAGACCACAAUAUUUACUUGCAUUCAUCUUGUGUUUACUAUAAGGUACUAAAGAGGAGGGCUCCCACCAUCAGCCCUGGCCACUAUAUGAUAUUACUCCAGCACUGCAAGGUUGCAUGAAUAUACACUCUUACUAGUAACGUGUGACAGUUUCUUCUGUCUACAAAACAAUGAGGAAAAGGUAGACAACCCAGCGAGAAAUGAGCCAGAUGCUUGAGUUAACAGACAAUUAGAAAAUCCAAGA